CCUGGCUCAGGAUGAACGCUGGCGGCGUGCCUAAUACAUGCAAGUCGAACGCUGGAGAUCUAGCUUGCUAGAUCGAAGGAGUGGCGAACGGGUGAGUAAUACAUAAGCAACCUACCCACGAAGACUGGGAUAAUCUCUGGAAACGGGGACUAAUACCGGAUAGGUAAUCGGAAGGCAUCUUCUGGUUAUUAAAGGUUAAAAACACUGGUGGAUGGGCUUAUGGCGCAUUAGUUAGUUGGUGAGGUAACGGCCCACCAAGACGAUGAUGCGUAGCCGGCCUGAGAGGGUGAACGGCCACAUUGGGACUGAGACACGGCCCAGACUCCUACGGGAGGCAGCAGUAGGGAAUUUUCGGCAAUAGGGGCAACCCUGACCGAGCAACGCCGCGUGAGUGAAGACGGCCUUCGGGUUGUAAAGCUCUGUUGUAAGGGAAGAACGGUAGAUAGAGAAUAUCUAAGUGACGGUACCUUACCAGAAAGCCACGGCUAACUACGUGCCAGCAGCCGCGGUAAUACGUAGGUGGCGAGCGUUAUCCGGAAUUAUUGGGCGUAAAGGGUGCGUAGGCGGCCUGUUAAGUAAGUGGUUAAAUUGUUGGGCUCAACCCAAUCCAGCCACUUAAACUGGCAGGCUAGAGUAUUGGAGAGGCAAGUGGAAUUCCAUGUGUAGCGGUAAAAUGCGUAGAUAUAUGGAGGAACACCAGUGGCGAAGGCGGCUUGCUAGCCAAAGACUGACGCUCAUGCACGAAAGCGUGGGGAGCAAAUAGGAUUAGAUACCCUAGUAGUCCACGCCGUAAACGAUGAAUACUAAGUAUUGGGGAAACUCAGUGCUGCAGCUAACGCAAUAAGUAUUC
rnacentral:rRNA from 1 species